CUACGGGAGGCAGCAGUAAGGAAUAUUGCGCAAUGGAGGCAACUCUGACGCAGCCAUGCCGCGUGCAGGAAGAAGGCCUUAUGGGUCGUAAACUGCUUUUAUUUAGGAAUAAACCCCCGAACGUGUUCGGGGCUGAAGGUACUAAACGAAUAAGCACCGGCUAACUCCGUGCCAGCAGCCGCGGUAAUACGGAGGGUGCAAGCGUUAUCCGGAUUUAUUGGGUUUAAAGGGUGCGCAGGCGGGCUAUUAAGUCAGUGGUGAAAUCCCGGGGCUCAACUCCGGAACUGCCAUUGAUACUGAUAGUCUUGAGUUUGGUUGAAGUCGGCGGAAUGUAGCAUGUAGCGGUGAAAUGCAUAGAUAUGCUACAGAACACCAAUCGCGAAGGCAGCUCACUAAGCCAAAACUGACGCUCAUGCACGAAAGCGUGGGGAUCAAACAGGAUUAGAUACCCGAGUAGUC
rnacentral:rRNA from 1 species